GUUACCAUGGCAUUGCAGAUGUGGCAUCAAGGAGAGGUCACCAGUGCACAACCUGAACGGCAGUAAUUAUUUUAGUAACUCUGCUAGCAGUAGUGGAAUUGAACUGAAAGUGUUUCUGACUGAAAGAGUCAAGCUACAAAAAGCUGUCUACUUCUUCUCUAUUAUUCAUAAGCAACUGGGUUUCCUCCUAAAUGCAGUCAAUUUUGAAACCUCACCUUGUGUGGAGUUGUAGGAGUUAAUGUACAUCUCUAGUUUCAGAAGAAUACUUUGACACUUGUAAGUAUGUUGAAGCGUGCAAAGUAGCUUGCAGUCCUGUUGCGUGUCUUCUGCUGUGCUGUCUGCUCUGUAUUCAGGCUGGCUUGUCUUGCUAAUCACAUCACAUCUGUCAGCUGUCUGUGGGUAGAAACAAAUUGUAAACAAGCUGUCAAGGUGGAGUAGGAUAAUUGUUUAAAAAAAGGGGGGGGGGGGGGGGGAGAAAAAAAAUCAGACCACCUUGAAUAGCUAAAUAGAAAAAUUGAGUGACUAAAUAGGAACUAAAUGUACUUUUUCUUCUACUUUUAGUGCUUGUUUCAUCACAGAUGAUGGUUUUUACUUCAGCAUGUGGUUGUAAAAAUAUUCACCACAUUGGGCGAAUGUAUGGCAAUGCCAGCCCUGCUCCUCCUCAUUGCCUGUAGGAAAGGUUUUACCGCUUCCAAACAAUCUCCCUCCUGUCUUUGCUUUCCAUCAUUAAGACACUGCAGAGGUACAGUAGUUUACAGUGACUACCUGUUCUUAGAAAACACACAUGAGCCAUUUCACCAGCAGUGUUUGUACUGUUCAGACCUUUCAAACUGCCUGACACCUUUGUGCUUCAUUUACCAGGCCUGAAUAAUAGGAGGACUCUAGUAAUGCAAUCACAUACAAUGUAAGUUGGUUACUUGUUAGAAUGUGUCACCAGUAAUCAGGUGCUCAUAUCUGAGUAACUUGAUAAACAUGAAGGAAGUAACAAGGAAACUCCUUUCCCUCAGUUGAAAAAGGUGUUAAUACUCAGAUGCAAUGUUGUAUGUUCAUUUAAGGGUCAUUUUCCUUCCAUCCCUAGUGAAUGGUAUGGUACAAUUUGAGAUGUUUUUUGUGGGGAUAAUAAAUCAGAUCUUCGUGUCUUGAAAAGCUAUUUCAAGUAAUAUAAGGCUCAGGAAAAAAAAAAUCUGGAGUAUAUUCCUUGCAUUACUACAGGCAUAGGGGUAGUAUGAAUUUUGUUUGUGGCUGAGCAAUGAAGCAACUCUUAUUUUUCUAAACCAAAACAAUAUGAUAAAAUUAUUGGUAAAAUGAGAGUUUUUAUGAAAACUACCAUGAUUUUAAAGCAACUUCAGUAAAAGUAUUCCUUACCUUUUGGCCCGUUUGAUGGAUUCCUAGAAUUUUACUGCUUAAAGAAAGUGGUAAAGCCUGUGGAAGUACUCAGUGCUUGCCAUGUUGCAAGGUUGCCUUGGUACCCUAUAGCUUCAACUGUAGCUCAGCUCUCCUCCAGCAAAGGGAGCAUCCUAUUUGCAGUAUGGCUUGCUGCUGGUGUGCUCAGCAUUGUCUCUCUCAGCCUCCUUGUCUGCCUGUUAGAGGGGCCAGAUUCAGCAUCGAUCCACCUGGCAGCAUUGGCCUGCUUCAGUUGUUGCUUGCUGCUCCUUGCUCAGCCAUGCUAUUUGAAUGGGUGAUCUCCAAACUGGCUGCCCCUUGGGAACUCUGAAAAUUACUCUGGUCACUUCAUUUCCUCAAUACAGAAACUAAAUGAAGCAGAGAAGGCAAAUAAGCUCUUGCAUGCAAAGUGGUUUUUGCUGUCGAACCAGAUCCCUAGAGAGGCAUAGUGCCAGAUAAAAUCUGAAAGUCUGGCCUUCUUGUUUUUUGUUUGUUUGUUUGUUUUUGUGUGUGUGGUUUUGUGUUUUGUUUUUGUUGUUGUUGCUGUUGUUGUUUCGUUGGUGGUGGUUUUUUGUUUGUUUUUUUACCCCUAAAGCACUGCCAUGCAUUUCAAGAAGCAUCAUUACAUCUCUUCACUGAUGGGUAGUCUGUUAUGACAAUAAAACUAAACCUGUGGCUGUGAUUGGUUUUGUCUUCCUGAUGUUAUUUUUCAUGGUAACUAGCUGCUUUCUCACUUGCCCAUACAUCAUCUGAACAAACAAAUAGGUUUUGUUGCUGGUAAAUAUGAGGGAACAGACCUUGAGAGACAGGGGAAAGGCAGGUUUAUGCAACAGUCAAGCCCCAGCCAUUAUGUAACGGGGGUGCCCUGACCAGCAUUCUUCACAGGAGGUACUCGGUAUAGUCUUAAGAAUUUCCCCUUGAUGCUUUAAAAUUUCUGUAAAAUGUAUUCUUUUGCAAAUUUGGACUAAUGUGAAAGGACUUUGCAGUGCUUGUGCUGCUUCCCACAGAGUGCAGUAUUUCUGCAGGGAUGAUGUGAAAGACCCACUUUGGGGAAAUCCAACCAGUAACUGCCUGUAGAUCAGAGGCCAAGUUCUUGUAAUGGAGAAACAUUAGAAAGCUGCAACUUCAGCCAAAAUGAGCCUGGUGUAGAACUGGAGUGCUUUGUGUUGUUUCCAGCUGGCACGUACCCCUGCCAGGUCAGUAUGGCUUGUGUCAAGGACCUCUAAGAGGUGCCACAAGUAAUGAAAGGAUGCAGCUGUGGGUACGACAUAUGCUUUGAGCACAAUGAGGUAUAUGGUAUAACUUAAACAUGCAUGAGAUUAUUGCUAGCUUUUUCACGUAGUGGGUUGGGGAUUUUAGGUUUUGGUAUUUUCAAAAGAAAAUAAUGUAUCAUUUUGACUAUUUUUACCGCUCAUAAGAGCAUAAAGCCAUCAUUUAAUUUCUUCUAUGUAUUUUCGACGUAUAUUAGUCUGUGCUGUUCCAUUAGAUAAGACUAACAAUGAUUUGCUAGUGAGAAUUACUGUAUUCCUGGAGACAAACCAAGAGUAUUUUUAACAAGAGGAUAAACUAACGAGACCACCACCAGGAGACAUGGUCACAUGAAAUAUUGCUAUUAAUUUACAGACAUUUUGCAAAGAUUAGACAUUGUAAAACCAGUACUCUUUCCAAGUAGGAUAAGUAUCACUGAAAUUAUAUUUAAUUGUCCACUCUAGACUUUUAUGUCAUUUAGUAUGUCUAGCCAUACUAUUAGUGACUUAUGUAAGGAAAAGCCUGCUGUGACCUCACAAUACACAAACCUCUAGACAAGGCCCUCUCCAUCCUUCUCUCGGGACAGUCUGUUGCGCAGGAAUAAAGGCUUAGCAUAAAAGAAAAUUACUUUUAGCUGAACCGACGGGGGGUGAGGGGGUGGGGGUGAGAUGGAAGCCUAUUUCUAUGUGUAAAAGAGCCCUUGAGGCUGAUGGUCUUGGAGUGGCUGGAUGGGUCUGAUGGCAUGGGGCCCCUUGAGCUCUGCAUCUGACCUACUUUUGAGAAAGCUGUGAAGCUGCCAUUGUGGAAAUGGACCUGCUCUGAGGCUAGGAGGUCUCAGAAAGAGUACUGUUGGGAAUUAAAAUGCUUCCUUUAAAAUAAUUAAACCUCAAGGUUUAGCAGUAACUGCAAAAUGGGUUAAUUCCCAAUUGGAGUUGCCUCUCUGUUGCCUGACCUCUUGAGAGCUGAUCUGCAGAGCUUCCCCCAAACCGCACUAAAUGGACUCCUGAUGGCUUUUGUCCUCCAGCAGGAUUAAAACUGCUGUCCCCAAAUAAAAGCUGUCUUUUUCAGGUAACAAGUGAAGUAGCAAGACUCACUUGUGUGGGAAAGCAUGCUGAUCAGAUGACUCAUCACCCUGGUUUGUGAAAAUGAUCCCUGAGGCCUGCUUACGAAUGCUAAGCAAUGACCAGUGUACCUGUCUGAAGCAAAAUGACCACCAGAACCCUGAGGCGCAUCGCACAGCAUGCCUAAGAGUGAGACCUCGGGGUCACAGCUGCUCCCUGAACAAAAAGUGG